AAUCGUCUUGUACGCAUACUUGGCCUUGGACGAUACAUUUUUUCGCUCGGCUCCGAGCCGUAGGGAUGACUAGAGCGGAACCGAACGGGAAGCAAAUUUUGACAUAAUUCCGGUCUCUCUGAAGCAAGCAAAUAUUGAUGCUGGUGAACGCUUGCAGGCGGAUAUUAAAAACGACGGGGAAGUUUAUACUUUGAGAGGGAUAAGAAUAUUUGUGGAUUCGUUUGAGCACGCGGUCGGAUCAAACCGGUAGGCGUCGUCGUCGAACGUGCCCCAGUUCGAGGCCUAGUUCUUCAGCGACGAAGAUCGCUUGCGUUUUGUUCCUUUGCGAUUUAUACUCACUUCGUGUACGCUCAUCGUUAAGGUUCCGACGCUUUAAGCGGGGAAACCACAUUAGGAGGGUCGUUUUUUUGUUUAGUGCAUAAAUCCUUAGCUUAGCUUAACUGUCCAAGAAUACGCUGUAAAAAUUUCAAAGCAAAAUUCGCAUUCGUUCAGAUUUUAUGAGCAUAUGCAAAACCGAGCGCACCAUCGGGUACAGACUCGAGCGCAUAUAGGGCGGAGCACUACCUCAGGUAGUCCUGCGCAAAACAAAGCCUAUGAAGAAGAAGAAGGAUUGCUGUAUGGUGCCGGAAUCGCAGAUUAAUCGUUGAAAAUCGAAAUGGCUACAAUGUACGCAAUUGGAAAACGAAACUCACAACCCUUCAGCGGACAUCACAGUGUAACGUUGUUAUUUUGGGACGAAAUUAUGUAAAAAAAAUCAUAAGAAAUAUAAACGAAAUGAUGUCAAAA